GUGGGUAUUUGCAAGGCAGUGGUAGUCUCUGUGAAUUAUAGGCGUGCACCUGAAAAUCGAUAUCCCUGUGCCUAUGAUGAUGGAUGGACAGCUCUUAAGUGGGUUAACUCAAGAACAUGGCUUGAGAGUAAGAAAGAUUCCAAAGUUCAUAUAUACUUGGCAGGGGAUAGCUCUGGUGGUAACAUUGUACAUCAUGUUACAAUAAGAGCAGUGGAAUCAGGUAUUGACAUAUUGGGGAA
rnacentral:misc_RNA from 1 species